rnacentral:rRNA from 1 species
CCUACGGGAGGCAGCAGUGGGGAAUUUUGGACAAUGGGCGCAAGCCUGAUCCAGCAAUGCCGCGUGAGUGAAGAAGGCCUUCGGGUUGUAAAGCUCUUUUGUCAGGGAAGAAACGGUCUACUCUAAUACAGUGGGCUAAUGACGGUACCUGAAGAAUAAGCACCGGCUAACUACGUGCCAGCAGCCGCGGUAAUACGUAGGGUGCAAGCGUUAAUCGGAAUUACUGGGCGUAAAGCGUGCGCAGGCGGUUAUAUAAGUCAGAUGUGAAAUCCCCGGGCUCAACCUGGGAACUGCAUUUGAGACUGUAUGGCUAGAGUGUGUCAGAGGGGGGUAGAAUUCCACGUGUAGCAGUGAAAUGCGUAGAUAUGUGGAGGAAUACCGAUGGCGAAGGCAGCCCCCUGGGAUAACACUGACGCUCAUGCACGAAAGCGUGGGGAGCAAACAGGAUUAGAUACCCUGGUAGUCCACGCCCUAAACGAUGCCUACUAGUUGUCGGGACUUAAUUGUCUUGGUAACGCAGCUAACGCGUGAAGUAGACCGCCUGGGGGNGGUACGGUCGCGAGAGUAAACGUACGAAGUAGAGUAGAGCGUGAGACGAGCGACGGACGACGACGAGGGAGGAGG